rnacentral:lncRNA from 1 species
AGAAUGGAUGGCCCUUCCGUGGCAGUGAGUGUGAAGCCCCUUCACUUCCUCCUGGGCAGUAUCUAGCCAUAACAUAUCAGUGGAUAAGAGUUACAUUAGUGACAUCUUAGCUCCACUUCAACAGGACAAUCUGAGACUGACCAGUGACAAUCCUUGGGAAUAGGCCUUGACAUCUAUGAUUACAGGACCUGUAACUGUGAUAAAAUUGGAGAAUGUUCAUCUUUGUCCUCAUCCCAUCUGGCAGGGCAUCAUGCAUCUGGCCCAGGAUUCAUGUUGAGCACUGGUGACAUGGGUGUUUUGUUACACUAAUGGAAAGCUGACUCACAUAAAGGACUGAUAUCAGCUGCGACUGUAUAUGGAAAAGGCACUCCCAUUCAGGAUUUUCAAGGCACUCGUAUCUUAAUUAACAGAACUUAUAUCCAAUGAAUACUAAACUCAUUUAAAUUUCAAUAAAAUUAAAUGUCCAUGCUUA